AAAUGUAUUAAAAAAUUGUCUUGUUUGAAAGUUCUGACACGACAAACACAAAUAUGCAAACAAAACUUAAUUUGGAUUUUAACAUAGGAUAAUGCUGGCUCACCAUCAAUCAAACACACAAGUGUAUGGACGGCUCACGGACUCUUACAGAUGGAGCGGUACAUAUCAUCACUGCGCACACAUGGAUCCAUGAACAGUGCUACUACAUUUUUUUAUUUUUAUUUUUUUUUGAAAAGGGGUGAUUCCCCGGCCUCUGCAUCAGAAAGAUGCAUACGACCAUCUUAUUAACCAAAAAGGAAGUGUCAACAUGGUUCCAAAGGUCUCCACAAAAAAAGCAUAAACAGCUCACACAGAGCCGAGGAAAAACGCCAUAACCGGCUGGCUAAAAAAUAGAUAGGAAAUCUAAAUGCCUAUCCUAUUACAUGACCGCCAUCCAAACCGGUUGAAUAUAUCCCGAGCUACCGUCUCCCAGCGGAAAGACCCAGUAACCAAAUGCUCCCUGGCCUCCGUCUGGGUGAGUAGCGACCAUGAACGGAUCAGUGCCGUAGUACGGAAUAUGACCUGCAAAAAAUGUAUACAUGAUAUUCUGUUAAAAACCAAAUCAUUUCUGCAAUUCCAGAUAGUCCACAGCAAAGCACAAACUCCAACCCGAAUAUGUCUCGCUAAGUUAGGCUCAAUCCCAUUAAGCCAGGUCCCAAAUAACGCACAAACAGAAUUCGGUGGAUUGAUACUAAAAGCAAUGUGGACCGUCUGCCAAAGAACCUUGGCUAACGGGCAAUCAAAAAAGAGAUGUUUGAUAGUUUCAUCCCGAUGACAGAAACUACACCUAGUAGGUCCUGUCCAAUUACGCUUAAUGAGGUUAUCCUUAGUUAAAAUAACUUGUUUAUGGACAAACCACAUAAACACUUUAAUUUUCAAAGGAACUUUGACAUCCCAAACAUGCUUGGAAGUAGGAAUGGAGUUUGAAUUAAUAACAUCAAUAUACAUUGAUUUAACCGUAAAUACUCCAGACUUGGUCAGUUUCCAGCGUAAUUCAUCGGGUUGUUGUGAAAGCUGGACUUCCAUCAGUCUCCUGACUAGAUGGAGCCAUUCUUCCCAACGAUUGCCCGUUAGCGUUCGUCGGAACUGAAUAUUAAGGGGGCUAGAUUGAACGACCGAUGCAACGAACACCUCAUGUCGUUGAGCAAUAAGGUAUAAAGACGGAUAUUGGAUGGCCAAGGGUGUCUCGCCAAGCCAAGUAUCCUCCCAGAAACGUGUACUCGUGCCGUUUCCAAUGACAAACUUCGUCCUAUUAAACAACGCCUGUUUGACUUUCAUCAAGCCUUUCCAGAAAGGCGAGUCGGUCGGCCUGACAGUAACCUGGGACAAAGUUUUCGUCUGGAGGUACUUGCUGCGUAGGAUUUGAGCCCACAUCGCAUCAUUCUCCAUUGAUAGCUUCCACAGCCACUUGCUAAGAAGGCAUUUAUUCUUGACCUCUAGAUUCUCAAUACCUAGUCCCCCUUGGUCUUUCGGUCUGCAGAUGAUAUCCCAUUUAGUAAGCCGAUAUUUUCUUUUAAGCUCAUCACCCUGCCAAAAGAAACGCGAUCGAUAGAAGUCCAGUCUCUUCCUAACACCAACUGGGAUCUCAAAGAAUGAUAGGAGAAACAUUGGCAUACUCGUGAGCACCGAGUUAAUCAGGAUUAAUCGGCCUCCGUAUGACAUGAGUUUACCCUUCCAACAACUCAAUUUUUUCUCGAACCGAUCCUCAAUACACUUCCACUCUCUGUUAGUCAGCCUACGAUGGUGGAUUGGAAUCCCCAAGUAAGAGAAGGGUAACUCACCCAACUCACACCCAAACAAUUGCCUAUAAGCCUCCCGUUCAUCUUUGGCCCUACCAAAGCAGAACAACUCGCUCUUAUGAAAGUUAAUCUUUAACCCGGUCAAUUGUUCAAAUAGGCAUAACACCAACUUCAUAUUUCUCGCCUUGGCCAAGUCAUGCUCCAUAAAGAUGAUUGUAUCAUCAGCGUACUGAAGGAUGGAUACACCUCCAUCAAUUAGAUGAGGUAUCAAUCCACCUACUUGACCAUUUUCCUUAGCCCUUCCUAUCAAAAUUGCUAACAUAUCCACCACUAUGUUAAACAAGAUAGGGGACAUCGGAUCUCCUUGUCGUAGGCCUUUAUGUGUCUGGAAGUAAUGACCUAUGUCAUCAUUAACUUUAAUUCCCACACUACCUUUUUGCGUAAAUGAUUCAACCUGUCGGCGCCAGGCUUCAUCAAAUCCUUUCAUACGCAAUGACUGUUGGAGAAAUGGCCAUUUGACCUUAUCAUACGCUUUCUCGAAAUCCACCUUAAAAAUUACUCCAUCUAAUUUUUUGGAAUGGAUUUCGUGGAGUGUUUCAUGCAGGACGACCACCCCUUUAAGGAUAUUCCUGUCCGGCAUGAAAGUAGUUUGAGACUGUUGCACCACAGUAUGCGCAAUCUGUGUGAGUCUGUUUGUCCCGACCUUGGUGAAAAUUUUGAAACUAACAUUGAGGAGACAGAUCGGCCUGAAUUGCUCAAUUCUCACCGCAUCCGUCUUCUUGGGAAGCAGUGUGAUAGUCCCAAAAUUCAAGUGAAAUAAUUGAAGCUGGCCAGAAAACAGAUCAUGGAACAUAGGUAGUAAAUCCCCCUUAAUAAUGUGCCAGCACUUUUUAUAAAACUCUGCCGGGAAUCCAUCGGGUCUGGGAGCCUUAUUGUUUUUCAUCUGUGUAAUAGCAUCAAACACCUCCUUCUCCGAGAACGGGGCAGCCAGAAUAUCAUUAUCGGCAUCCGAUAGCUGAGGCACAUCCUCAGUCCUGGACUCAUCGAGGGACACACAAUUAUCCUUCGGAGGUCCAAACAACUGCUUAUAAUAGUCGGUAAUAUAUGUUUUUAGGUUGUCCUGGCCUAAAAUGGUACCCUCGUCUUGCUCAAGCUGAAAGAUACGUUUCUUUCUGUGCUUGCCAUUGGCUAUCAAAUGGAAGAACUGAGUAUUCGCGUCCCCUUGGACUACUUUGCAGACUUUAGCACGCAAAGCCCACUUCAAUUCUUCUUCACGGAGCAGUUAUUUCAACCUCGUCUCCGCUUCAUUUUUAGCCUGAAGCUGAGUUGGUGUUAGAAUAUUGGAUUCGGCUUGUAUGUCCAGGGCCUGUAUAAGAGCAAGGAGUCUAUCCUUCUCCAUCUUGUACACACCACUGAGGUUCUUAGACCAUCCCCGUAAGAAACUCCUUAGGUGCCUAAUUUUAUUCUGCCAACGCUCUAACGCAGUGUUGCCCCCAAGACCUCUAUCCCACUCCCGAGCAAUCAAAUCCAAGAACCCCUCACGUUCAAACCAUGACAUCUCGAAGGAGAAGGUAUUCUUGUUACCCACAUGGUUCGGCUCACCUGAGUCCACGAACAAUGGGGUAUGAUCAGAUAUGCCCCUUGAAAGAGCUUGCACCAUCACCAGAGGGAACUUUUGUUCCCACUCCACGCUCGCAAGCACUCGAUCAAGUUUUUCAUAGGUUGGGUGUGGCAUAGCAUUAGCCCAAGUGAACUUUCUACCCGAAAGCUCUAUCUCUCUCAGAUCCAAGCUUUCAAUAAUGGUAUUAAACAUGAACGACCAUCUACCGUCAAAAUUAUCAUUGUUCUUCUCCUCUCUCCUCCUGAUGAUAUUGAAAUCACCCCCAACUAGAAUUGGAAGCUGUUCUGACCCACAGAUACGAACCAGGUCCGCCAGGAACUCCGCUUUAAGCUCGGGCUGUGCGGCACCAUACACCGCCACCAAAGCCCAGUUAAAACCAUCUAUCCUGGACCUGACUCGAAACUUCACCGCGAAGUCUCCCAUUACUACACUUCGGACUUCAAGCGAAUCGCAUCUCACACCUAGUAAGAUGCCACCCGACCUUCCUCGCGGAGGAAGGCAAUGCCAAUCAAAAUCAAUACCACCCACCAAAGAAGAGAGAAACUGGGGUGCAAAGUUAUCUCUACCCGUCUCCGAUAGAGCAACAAAAUCUAACCUCUGCUCUAAAGCUGCCUCAGCAAGGAUUCUUCUUUUAGCCAAGUCCUUCAGACCUCUGCUAUUCCAAAAAAUUCCUCUCAUAAUUCAUAAUGGAAUUUUUUAGUGGUACGAAUCCUAGCACUCCUACGAACUGCGGAAGCGGGAUAGAUUUUCCGAUUCCACUUACGCUUAGGUUUACUAGGUGCUGUCGCCCGGUCCUCAUCACCAGGUUCAUAGAUAUUACCAUCAUCAAUCUCUAGGGGUAUAUCAUCAUCGUCAGAGUCAUGAUUGGGUGGUGCUAAAUCUGCACAUAGAUUACCUAGCACUCUGACCCCUAACGCAUCAAUCUCAUCAUCCUUCAUAGGAUUAACGGCUGCAAGGUUACGAAUAGUCUCUAAGGCGCGUUCCGCCUCCAAAUCUAAUAAAUCAUUCACCGAAUUGGAAAUCUCACUAUCCGUAGCCCCUAGUGAAACUCCUAAUUGGUUUGCAUUAUUUAUAAUCUCCUCAUUAGAAAAAUGCAAUAAGGAAUUAGAUAGGUUGACGGACAUACCAGAAGACAAAGCAGCCUCCUGAAGCUUGGCCGCCCUCAUAGCGCACCGCUGCUGCAUAUCAUCUACCUCGGGUAUGUCGAGGAUGCGAGCACUCAUCCGUCUCCCCUCGGCAAUGGGGUCCGGGAUCCCGCCAAACACAACAACCUCCUCCCUAGUAACACCUGGCACACAGUCCCUCACAGGCUCUACCGGGGUUACCAUAGAAGGCAUCUGUGGGCUCCCGAUCCCCUUAGACGGGAGUCCCACUCUAGGGACCCUGGUCAUGGGUAGGAGCGAAGAGGUGAUGACGGGGGCCGCCUGCCCGCGCCCUCCUCCGACCUCGGCCGCCGGCUCAGACGUAUGAGCCAGCGGCGAGGGAGAGACGGUCCUCGUGAUCGUCGAGGGCGAAGGGGGAGCCAAGGCCUCCUGCCCCAGCACCCCCCCAGUGCUGCUGCCGCGAUGGUUACCGCCACCGUCGGGGAAGCAGGAGCCGAGGCCGCCUGCCUCGGGCUCUCGCCCCUCGUGCCGGCCGACCCACACGGGGCCGGCGUGACCGACGCCGUCAAGAGCGAGGUGGGGUGGGAAGGAGGCGAGGCCACCUGCCCCGAAGUUCCUCCCCCACGACCCGCCUUGCCCGAAUCCGCCGACACCGGAGUCGCGUCCACAUUGAUCUGGCCAUGAGGAGCUCCCUCUGGGAUCCUCUCCAAAGCUCCGACCAUUGACCUGGCCGGCCGUCCAGCAAACCAACUAGCAUCCCCCUCGAACUCCAACGGGGGGAGCGUAUGCUCCAGAGAAUCCUCAGAAUCUACCCGGUCACUCCAUAGUCUGGGAGGUGCCGAAGCUGGCUCAAAAGACCCAAAACGCAGAGUAGUCAUAGGCACCGUUGGGGGCGCUGCAUGCUCAAUCCCGGUCCCAUCCCCGGGCACCUGAGAAGAACCAUUAGACCCCUCACGCAUGUGCUCAUCAGACGGUGCCCCCUUGGCCCCGGUAUUGCCAUCACUGUCUUGCAUGUCAACAUCGUUACCAUUAACCGGAUCAUCAAAUAAAUCCGUGUCCUCAAACUCGAUAUCUAGCGGGAACACCACUCCCCUGUAAGUCCAGUUAACCUUAUCGGGUACGAACUCAAUAUCCAGAACACUCACUAAUAUCCGGGCCACCCCAUGGGCACGUGUGAAAGCCAUAUCCACUUUUUCCGUCUUCCCCACCAUGAUACCCAUACUAGCUACCACUCGAGCGUCCUGCAGAGGCUUAGAAGGAGCCCCUGUAAAUCUCAACCAGACCUGCGUCAGCGGCUUCCCCUUAGGCUCAACUUGCUUCCACUCAUGGAACUCUAGGAUACACGUAGUACCGGGAACCCGACACAAGCCAAAGCUCAACAAUCGCUGCAAAUCCUCCACAGAUGGGAACUCAACCUUAAAAGACCUGUCCUCGAUAAGCACCAAUUCCCAUCGAAAAUCCCCGGGAGCCAACUCCUGAAGCCUCCUCACAAUCUGUGCCUCAGUCACCUCGCCCUGGGUUGCCUUCACAAUCCCGGCAGUCAAGCUCAGGGUAUCCUCCGGGACCUCUCUCGCCACCGGGGACUCAAAAAACAUGAGCUCAGCACAAUAGACUCCAUAAAUGUUCAGCGUCGGAGGCAGGUCACGCAUCAACGGGCACUCCCCGGAGUCAUGUACAGUCUUGCCACACGUCUCGCACAACUGAGCCACACAUUCAGCAAUGAAGUGACCCUUCUCACCGCAGCGGUAACAAAGCAUCCGUUCCUUCUUUCGUGCAUAUUUAGACGCCCUUUCAGUAGCCUCGUCUGCCAUCCCAGCCUCAGGAACCUCGACCGUAACCACGGCGUUCGUCACCUCCAUCGCCUGGGACUCGGUGGCAACCUCCGCUGUGGACGCCUCGGGAUCAACUGCCUUGGGCGGGGGUGGACGUCAGAAUCUCCCACGGCCCCCACCCCGACCACCACGAUGGCCACGAAAGCCUCCUCUCUAACGGUGAUCCGGGUCGGAAGCCCCCUCGACGAAACCUCCUGUCGGGCCGAGAAAAGGUCUCUCAGCCGACCCGUCACUCUGCCAGGCAUAGCCACGGCCACCACCCGUGGAUGAAUACCCACGAUGUUGUCCAACUCCAUACGCAUCAGAACCAUCAUCCCCCCACUGACCUCGGGGUGGAUCAAAGGACUCUGUAGUGUUGGGGCUCUGUCUCGUUUGCACCGAUCCCGACCGAUCUUGCGCGGGCCGCGCGACGUAGUGCGGCGGAGGCUUGGCACGAGGCUGGUUGCCGAUAGUUGGCGUAGCUCCUGAAGCACUACCCCGAACCGGUGCUGCCGCGCCCGGCGCCGAAGGCCGAGUCCCGCCCCGACCCGCAGCCGGCUGCACAACGAGCGCCACGCCGGGUGCUGGGGGCCGAGUCCCGCCCCGACCCACAGCCGUUUGCAUGGCAACCGCGCCUGGUGCCGAAGGUCGCGGCCCACCCCGGCCGGCCCAAGGCAGCUGCUGCACAUACCCUGGCCGCUGGGUACCAACGCCGCGACCAGAGAAGGCCGGCGCCGCGCCAUCACCCGCCGGCUGCCUCUGGCCUGCGGGCACUGGUGCCCCACGUCCGGCGGCCUUAGCACUCAGCGUCGCAGCCCCAUCCCGACGUGAAGGAGCCGCCGCAGCCCCAGUCGUCAGCGGCGCAGCCCCAUCCCGACCUGAAGGGGCCGCCGCCGUGGUUGUUUUGGCCGGCGGCGCUGCCGUCCCGCGGCCAGCCAUACCCUGGAGAGGUGGGAUCCUCUUCGCCCGACCCGCACCGCACAGUGGGAAGCCCGGAGUCCCGCGCCUAGGAGCCCUAGCGAUAGCAGCCGACGGCGCGGUAGCGGAGGAAAGAGCGAUCGCUGCGUGCGUGCAUGGAGUAUCGCUACGUGAGAGAUUCGGGACCGGUCCAGCCUGGGCCACAUACCCAGCCGUCCCAGGCCCAUCUCCUCGCAUCUCCGACCGACACAAAGUCGGCCCAUCGCAGCCCACCAAGUAAUUCAAACGAGCCGAUCGCAUCUCAGCGAUCUGGGAGAGCCCUGCGGACGCCAUGGCUGCCGCCGGCGGAGGACGCUCGCCCCUCUGAUUCCCGUUCUUUCGUUUCUUAACAGUAAUCCAUGAAUCCGGCCUAAUCUUGUCGAAAAGAGUAAGAUUUGGAAGGCGAACCUUAGGUAAAGGGCCCUUCCAUGGCCUGACCGCCGAUGCCGCAUUCCUCCGAUGAACGACACGUCGCACCAGCUCCUUCCUCUCGUCCGGAUGAAGCCCCACCCGCGCCGGAUCCUCCACCGGCACUACCAUGUCUACGGUCUUGGCCACAUCAUCUUCAUCAUAUCCUGCAUGAAAAAGAUCGCAUAUCAAAUCCGAAGGUGUAGGCGAGUGCGGCGAACCUUCUAAGCCUUCGUUGUCUCCGGCGUCAUCCUCGUCGUCUGCCUCCAACAGAGCCCAAAAACGGCCCCCGAUGCCUGCCCGCGCAGCCGCCGCGGAGGGACACGGCGCGGCUGCGGCCUCCGCGGUCCCCCGGGGAUUCGCCCUAGGAGUCACCCGGGGAGUCGCCCCAGCCAUCCAAGUUGGGCGGGGGUGGACGUCGGAAUCUCCCACGGUACAAGUUUUAGAGAUGUUAUUACUCACAGUGCUACUACAUUUAUGGCUCGCAGAAGAAGACAGUGUGAUAGCUAUAUGACGAGGGC
rnacentral:lncRNA from 1 species